rnacentral:tmRNA from 1 species
GGGGGUGAUCGGUUUCGACGGUGGUCGUGCUUCGAGGAGAAGCGGGCCGAGGAUGCAGACUUAUCUCGUAAACGACGUCUGCAAACCUAUAGGUGCCGAUAACAAGCGCACCGACUUCGCCCUCGCCGCCUGAGCGAGGCUUCGAAGUCCGUCAGCCCGGGGAUGCUCUCGCCCCGGUUCCUGGCGUCAGCUAGAGAGCCACUGCUCGUGACGUUCGUCGGUGACGUCACGGGGACUUUCAGCCGACUGAGCCUGUCAGCAUCGUGUCCGUGAGAAUGCUGGGGCCGAGAAAGGCGUAACGGACUGCGCCCGGAGAAGUCCUGGAAAAGCGCCACCGGACCGGGGUUCGAUUCCCCGCACCUCCACC